UACGAAGGGGGGCUAGCGUUGCUCGGAAUCACUGGGCGUAAAAGCGCACGUAGGCGGAUCUUUAAGUCAGGGGUGAAAUCCCGAGGCUCAACCUCGGAACUGCCCUUGAUACUGGGGAUCUCGAGUCCGGAAGAGGUUGGUGGAACUCCGAGUGUAGAGGUGAAAUUCGUAGAUAUUCGGAAGAACACCAGUGGCGAAGGCGGCCAACUGGUCCGGCACUGACGCUGAGGUGCGAAAGCGUGGGGAGCAAACAGG
rnacentral:rRNA from 1 species